GGAUGCGAUCAUACCAGCACUAAAGCAGCC
rnacentral:rRNA from 1 species